rnacentral:rRNA from 1 species
UACGUAGGGUGCGAGCGUUGUCCGGAAUUAUUGGGCGUAAAGAGCUCGUAGGCGGUGUGUCACGUCGGCCGUGAAAACCUGCAGCUUAACUGUGGGCGUGCGGUCGAUACGGGCAUCACUGGAGUUCGGCAGGGGAGACUGGAAUUCCUGGUGUAGCGGUGAAAUGCGCAGAUACUCGAGGAGGAACCGAGCCGGUAGGGCG